ensembl:miRNA
CCGCGGGGACCUGCUCGGGGACGGCCGGCCUGGCCUGCGGACCCGAGCGGACGCCGGACGAGAUGCUUGUGGAUGAAUUGUCCCGCGUGCUGCGGUGUGGCGCCGGGCCGGACGUGGAUGUGUAUAAACCUGCUG